UACGAAGGGGGCGAGCGUUGUUCGGAUUUACUGGGCGUAAAGGGCGCGCAGGCGGCUCAUUUUGUCAGGCGUGAAAGCCCCGGGCUUAACCUGGGAACUGCGUUUGAUACGGAUGGGCUAGAGUUCGGGAGAGGAGAGUGGAAUUCCCAGUGUAGAGGUGAAAUUCGUAGAUAUUGGGAAGAACACCAGUGGCGAAGGCGGCUUACUGGUCCGGAACUGACGCUGAGGUGCGAAAGCGUGGGGAGCAAACAGG
rnacentral:rRNA from 1 species